GUUGGACUUGUUAGCAUGAGCCUGUAAUCCAAGCGGGAGCAUCAAGAUGGUGGGAUAGUUGGACUUGCCUGGAAGGCUGGGCUUGGGUUGCUACUUACUAGCCUGCCCGUUCCAAGUGGUGAGUUAACAAAGGAGUCUUGGCGAAGGCGGAGGUUUCUUUGUCCUUAGAUUGGAAGGUAUCGUGUGAGGCGGGCUUCACCGAGCAGUGAAAAUCUCUUUCUUUCUACAGUGGAAGGAUAACAGACCGGUGUAUCCUCAGUUCAAUAACACCUAAUGGGCUGUCCAAAAUGAACCACCAUUUUU
rnacentral:SRP_RNA from 1 species